rnacentral:rRNA from 1 species
ACUCCUACGGGAGGCAGCAGUAGGGAAUUUCGGCAAUGGGGGAAACCCUGACCGAGCAACGCCGCGUGAGCGAAGAAGGCCUUCGGGUCGUAAAGCUCUGUUGUAAAGGAAGAACGGCGCAUACAGGAAAUGGUAUGCGAGUGACGGUACUUUACCAGAAAGCCACGGCUAACUACGUGC